GUGGGUGUCCAGCUACGGCUGCAGGACUAAAGAAUGUGCCGCGGUCCGUCGACCCCACACAGAGUAAAACUGGUUCCUGCCGACAGGGCCCGUCAAGUGGUUGGGUUUCCUGUGCGAUGGUUCCGAACAGU